GCUCUGCUUGCUCUCUCUCUCACUUCCUCCUCUGUCCCAUCACAUUUCAACAUAUAUUUUUUUCAUUUUCAAAUGCAAGAUUUGGAUUAUGCCCAUUUGCUUAUGAACGGGUCGACAUGGAUUAGCUUUCUUGAUUUGCUCUGGAGUUGCAUCUGGAAGCUGAUUAGAGAGAAGAAACACUAAUUAUUAUUAUUAUUAUUGCUGAGAUAAAAUUAAUGAAUUCAUGGGAAAUUAGUCACCUUGUCUGUUUAUACAUUAUGUACUCAUAUAUCAGACAUAAUUAUUCUCCGUAUGAGAUAGCAAGAGAAUCAACAUAUGUCGUGGUCAACGAAAAUAUUUUCUUCAGCAGCUGGUAUAUAUUUACAGUGUCUUCAACUUCUACUAUGUAAAGUUGUUUUCAAUCAACAUUGAGAAUUCUAAAGACUAAAAGAGGGUAUUGUUACCAAACAUGGAUCCUAUCCUUCAACACUUAAAAUUGAUGAUUAAGGCAUCCCUCUAAAUAUAGUUAUAGGUUACUUGAUUUCCACAGAGAAAACUCAUCCACCUGGAAUAUUAUCGACCACUUGAUGUUUUUAAUAUGUAUCGUACUUCCAAGGUAAGUGACUAAACCUUAAUAUAUCUUCUACAAGUGUUUAUUUUCAUUUGUUUUCUACAGUAGAAUUCAUUGGGUAUUGAAGUUUGCGUACACGAUUGUCAUAGUCAAAGAUUAGUAUAGUAUUUCAUACAGCUGGUCCAUGAAAGCAAAUAUUUUUGUGGUAAAACUAAAAUCACUUGGCCUAUAAGGUAUGGAGACGAGACGAGACGAGACGGGAGGUGGACAGAAAUUAAGGAAAAAAUAAGUGAUUGUAAUGGAGUUCUAGCUGCAGCUUCAAAGUAAUGGAGUUCUAGCUGCAGCUUCAAAGUAAAGAUUAAGUAUGGCAAAUUAAUUGUUGGUGUUUCAAGACCAGGCAUAUGGCAAGGUGUGAGGGAGGCUAUCUAUCUAUCUAUCUAUCUAUGUACAACUCACUAUAAGUAGAUUUCAGAACACUGGGGUGGGUGAUCCCAUUUC
rnacentral:lncRNA from 1 species